GGUAGGCGUCACAGGGUACCCGUAGGUUUUAACCCUGUACCCGUAGAUUUUGCUCUGGCUCCUUUGACUUUAGCGGGGGACGGGUGAGUAACACGUAGGUAACCUACCUAUAAGACUGGGAUAACUUCGGGAAACCGGAGCUAAUACCGGAUAAUAUUUCGAACCGCAUGGUUCGAUAGUGAAAGAUGGCUUUGCUAUCACUUAUAGAUGGACCUGCGCCGUAUUAGCUAGUUGGUAAGGUAACGGCUUACCAAGGCAACGAUACGUAGCCGACCUGAGAGGGUGAUCGGCCACACUGGAACUGAGACACGGUCCAGACUCCUACGGGAGGCAGCAGUAGGGAAUCUUCCGCAAUGGGCGAAAGCCUGACGGAGCAACGCCCGUGAGUGAUGAAGGUCUUCGGAUCGUAAAACUCUGUUAUUAGGGAAGAACAAACGUGUAAGUAACUGUGCACGUCUUGACGGUACCUAAUCAAAAAGCCACGGCUAACUACGUGCCACACCGGGUAAUACUAGGUGGAAAGCGUUAUCCGGAAUUAUCGGGCGUAAAGCGCGGUAGGCGGUUUUUUAAGUCUGAUGUGAAACCCCCGGCUCAACC
rnacentral:rRNA from 1 species